UGGAUGCCUUUUGUACAAUAGCUUGCAACCUCAGGAGAGAAGAGCCUGGGUGGGGAGGCUGCUGCAAACCCAUCCUGGGCAGGCCCAGGCAGGGAGAGGGCAGGGUCUACUGCACAGGUGGCCUCAGGACCCAGCAAGGACCUCAAGGCUUCUGUUCUCACCCUGGCAGCUGCCGACCCCUGCCCAGACCUCCCCACACACACCCUGAAGUAUUCCUGGCCUCACUUCCUGCAGCCUUGGGAAGUGGCUGGUAUGAGGAAGACCCGCGGCACGCAGGGAGGAAGUGGGCCAGCCGGGCCCUCACCAUCUGCAGCGGCCACACUGCUUCGGUGCAGCCUACAGCUCAAACGGACUGGGCUGUAAAGGUCCCGGCUGAAACCUUGAAUAAACCCUUCUGUGGAGACCUCAAAACCGAGAGAGAGCGGUCUUGUGUCUGUAGCUGGAUCUGGAGGCAAAUGAAGGCACCAUUCAUCUCUAAUCAGUGGGCACAGAAAUGGACUUCAGUCACCUGAGUGGCUGUGGAUUCUUGCUUUACCUCCAGCUGCUGAUGAAGCUGCCUAUGCUCUGACUCCUGGACCACGUGGCAAAGCUGGGGAAAGAGGUUGUAGUCGGACCGGAAUGUGGGGGUCCGGGGGCACCUCCACAGGUGUGACAGGUGUGACAGCUGUGGUGUGGCUCUGGGGUCAGGCCUGAUGGCAGUGGACACAGGGCAGCCCCCUGGGCCCCCAGACCCAUAUACUGGAGGGAGUCCCUAUCCCUAGCUCAUUCCUGCUGACUUACCGCUGUGCGUGGCAGAUUGGUGCCUGAGAUGAAGGAGAGGCCCACUUCUCAUGAAGGGAAGAGAGGAAGCAGCUGCUCCUCCCCAAGGCCCAGCAGGGAUCAGAGGCCAUGGAACCCUCACUCCUUUCCAAGCUCCCUCAAAGAGGACAGGGUGGAUCUGCUCUUUGGGGCAUGAGGUCACAGGCUCCUGACAGGCUGUAGAAGCCAGAUCUAGGAGCUAGAAUCAACAGGGGUAAUGCGAGGUCCAGCACCAGGUCCAAGAAGCAAGGGCCCCCAGGCAGGGCACGGGAACCUGGUCAAAGCACAGCCUGGACCCACAGACUUAGAGGUUUAGUUGUCAGUAACCUCCGCAGGAACCACAACAAUGACUGUAUUAUCCAAGAGAGCCGACACGCUCACAUGGACAUUUCUAAGAUGUUCAGCCUCUGAGAAGCUGGGAGAGGCACUCAUUCUUUUCUCCAGCCCCUUCUGACUCAUUACUGGGACUGCUGUGCUACCAUGUUUUUAGACACACGGAAGAAAUGGGCAUUUUGAGAGAAGUGAAAGCCUGGAGGUGCAGGGGAGUUGAAAUUAGGUGUGAGAAAUUGUUCAAAGAACUGAUGUCCAGAACAGUGACAGACUUAUUCUGAGUGGCUCAAAGGGAGGAAGCAGCAUCACUGAGAACAGGGGAGAGAGAGAGAUGUGAG
rnacentral:lncRNA from 1 species